rnacentral:rRNA from 1 species
GAUGAACGCUGGCGGCGUGCUUAACACAUGCAAGUCGAACGGGGGCAAAGGAAGCGCUUGCACAACCUUUGUUCUAGUGGCGGACGGGUGAGUAACACGUGGGUAACCUGCCUCAUACAGGGGAAUAACAUUGAGAAAUUAAUGCUAAAACCGCAUGAGCCUGCGAUAUCGCAUGAUAUUGUAGGGAAAACUAUGGUGGUAUGAGAUGGGCCCGCGUCUGAUUAGCUAGUUGGUGAGGUAAUGGCUCACCAAGGCGACGAUCAGUAGCCGACCUGAGAGUGUGAUCGGCCACAUUGGGACUGAGACACGGCCCAAACUCCUACGGGAGGCAGCAGUGGGGAAUAUUGCGCAAUGGGGGGAACCCUGACGCAGCAACG